rnacentral:rRNA from 1 species
GUGGGGAAUAUUGGACAAUGGGCGAAAGCCUGAUCCAGCCAUGCCGCGUGUGUGAAGAAGGUCUUCGGAUUGUAAAGCACUUUAAGUUGGGAGGAAGGGCAGUAAGUUAAUACCUUGCUGUUUUGACGUUACCGACAGAAUAAGCACCGGCUAACUUCGUGCCAGCAGCCGCGGUAAUACGAAGGGUGCAAGCGUUAAUCGGAAUUACUGGGCGUAAAGCGCGCGUAGGUGGUUUUGUAAGUUGGAGGUGAAAUCCCCGGGCUCAACCUGGGAACUGCCUCCAAAACUGCAUGACUAGAGUACGGUAGAGGGUAGUGGAAUUUCCUGUGUAGCGGUGAAAUGCGUAGAUAUAGGAAGGAACACCAGUGGCGAAGGCGACUACCUGGACUGAUACUGACACUGAGGUGCGAAAGCGUGGGGAGCAAACAGGAUUAGAUACCCCAGUAGUCC